rnacentral:rRNA from 1 species
UACGAAGGGGGCUAGCGUUGCUCGGAAUCACUGGGCGUAAAGCGCACGUAGGCGGACUCUUAAGUCGGUGGUGAAAUCCUGGAGCUCAACUCCAGAACUGCCUUCGAUACUGAGAGUCUUGAGUCCGGGAGAGGUGAGUGGAACUGCGAGUGUAGAGGUGAAAUUCGUAGAUAUUCGCAAGAACACCAGUGGCGAAGGCGCUCACUGGCCCGGUACUGACGCUGAGGUGCGAAAGCCAGGGGAGCGAACGGG